AAAAGUCUCGCCAUCCUCCCUUCUAAGGAACAUAUCAGCUAUACUUCUUCCAACACAGAUUUGUUCGUUCUUUGCCCACACCGUAAUUCAAAGGCAUCAAUUCUUCUUUGGUCUUCCUUAUUCAUUGUCCAGUUUUCGAAGCAUAUGAGGGCAUUGAAAAAUACCAUUCGUUGGGUAAGGUGUACCUUAGUCCUCAACGUAACAUCUUUGCUUUUUAAUACUUUCAAGAGUUCUUUCGCAGCAGAUUUGCCCAAUUCAUCAUUUGAUUUCCUGACUCUUACUUCCGUGGGCGUUCAUUGUGGAUCCAAGUAAAACAAAAUCCUUGACAACUUCAAUGUUUUCUCCUUUAAUCAUGAUGUUGCAUAUUGGUUCAUUUGUGAAGAUUUUUGUUUUCUUUAUGUUGCGGUGUAAUCCAUACUGAAGGCUGUAGUAUGAUCUUCAUCAGUAAGUGCUUCAAGUUCUCUUCACUUUCAGCAAGCAAGGUUGUGUCAUCUGCACGUCACAGGUGUUAGUCUUCCCAAUCCUUUUGCUGCGUUCUUCUUCAUAUAGUCCAGCUUCUCAGAUUAUUUGCUCAGCAUAUGGGUUGAAUACAUAUGGUGAAAGGACACAACUCUGAUGCACAACUUUCCCAACAUUAAAUGCAGUAUCCCCUCGUACUGUUUGAAUGACUGCCUCUUGGUCUAGGUACAGGUUCUGCAUGAGCAGAAUUAAGUGUCCUAGAAUUUCCAUUCUUCGCUAUGUUAUCUAUAAUUUGUUAUGAUUCACACAGUCAAUUACCUUUGCAUAGUCAAUAAUACACAGGUAAAUAUCUUUCUGGUAUUCCCUACUUUCAGCCAAGAUCCAUCUGACAUCAGCAAUAAUAUCCCUCCUUCCAGGUCCUCUUCUGAAUCUGGCUUGAAUUUCUGGCAGUUCCCUGUCCAUGUACUGCUACAACCACUUUUGAAUGACCUUCAGCAAAAUUUUACUUGCCUAUGACAUUAAUAAUAUUAUUCGAUAAUUUCCACAUUCUGUUGGAUCAUCUUCUUUGGAAUGGGCACAAAUACGGAUCUCUUCCAGUCAUUUAGCCUGGUAGCGGUCUUCCAAAUUUCUUCCAGUUUCAUAGAUGAGUGAGCACCGCCAGCUCUGCAUCAGUUUGUUGAAACAUCUCGAUUGGUAUUCCGUCAAUUCCUGGAGCCUUGUUUUUCGCCAACGCCUACAGUGCAGCUUGGACCCCUUCCUUCAAUACCAUCAGUUCCUAAUCAUGUGCUACCUCCUGAAAUGAUUGAACAUCAACCAGUUCUUUUUGGUACAGUGCUUCUCUGUGUUCCUUCCAUCUUCCUUUGAUGCUUCCUGUGUCAUCGAAUAUUUUGCCCAUAGAGUCAUUCAGUAUUGCAACUCGAGGCUUGAAUCUUUUUUUUCAGUUCUUUCAGCUUGAGAAAUGCUGAGUGUGUUCUUGACAUUUUGGUUUUCUAACUUCAGGUCUGGGCACAUUUCAUCAUAAUACUUUAUUUUGUCUUCUCAAGCCACCCUUUGCAAUCUUCUGUUCAGUUCUUUUGGAAACACUGGUGGCAUAGUGGUUAAGUGCUACUGCUGCUAACCAAAGGGUCGGCAGUUCGAAUCUGCCAGGCGCUCCUUGGAAAAUCUAUGGGGACAGUUCUACUCUAUCCUAUAGGGUCAUUAUGAGUCGGAAUCAACUAGAUGGCACUGGGUUUUUUUGGUUCAGUUCUUUUACUUCAUCAUUUCUUCCUUUUGCUUUAGCUACUCCACACUCAAAAGCAAGUUUCAGAAUCUCUUCUGACAUCGAUUUUGGUCUUUUCUUUCUUUCCUGUCUUUUUAGUGACCUUGCUUUCAUCAUGUAUGAUGUCCUUCAUGUCAUCCCACAACUCACCUGAUCUUCGGUCAUUAAUGUUCAACGUGUCACAUCUAUUCUUGACAUGGUCUCUAAAUUCAGGUGGGAUAUACUCAGGGUCAUAGUUUUGCUCCCAUGGACUUGUUUUAAAUUUCUUCAACUUCAACUUGAACUUGCGUAUGAGCAAUUGAUGAUCUGUUCCACAGUUGGUCCCUGGCCUUGUUCUGACUGAUGAUACUGAGCUUCUCCAUCAUCUCUUUCCACAGAUGUAGUCAAUUUGAUUCCUGUGUAUUCCAUCUGGUGAGGUCCACGUAUAUAUAGUUGCCUUUUAUAUUGUUGAAAAAAGGUAUUUACAAUGAAUAAGUCACUGGUCUUCCAAAAUUCUAUAUCAUUCAAUCUCCAACAUCAUUUCUAUUACCAAGGCCAUAUUUUCCAACUACUGAUCAUUCUUCUUUGUGUCCAACUUUCAAAUUCCAAUCACUGGUAAUUAUCAAUGCAUCUUGAUUGCAUGUUUUGUCAAUUUUAGACUGCAGAAGUUGGUAAAAAUCUUUCAUUUCUUCAUCUUUGGCAUUAGUGGUCGGUGUGUAAAUUUGGAUUAACUGGUCUGCCUUGUGGGCAUAUGGAUAUUAUCUCGUAUGGAUAUUAUUUCACUGACAGUGUUGUAUUUCAGGAUAGAUCUUGAAAUGUUCUUUUUGGCAAUGAAUGUGACACAACUUCUCUUUGGUUUGUCAUUCCUGGCAUAGGAGGCCAUAUAAUUGUCUGAUUCCAAAUGGCCAGUACCAGUCCAUUUCAGCUCACUAAUGCCUAGGAUAUUGAUCUCUACAUGUUCCAUUUCAUUUUUUAGGACUUCCAAUUUUCCUACAUUUUAUACUUCAUACAUUCCAUGUUCUGUUUGUUAAUGGAUGUUUGCAGCUGCUGCUUCUCUCAUUUUGAGUCAUGCCGCAUUAUCAAAUGAAGGUCCCAAAAGCUUGACUCCAUCCCCGUCAUUAAGGUUGACUAUACUUUGAGGAGGCAGCUCUUCCCCAGUCAUAUUUUGAGUGCCUUCCAACCUGAGGGGCUCAUCUUCCAGCAAUAUAUCAGACAAUAUUCCACUGCUUUUUUUAUUUAUAAGGUUUUCACUGUCCAAUCUCUUUUGGAAGUAGACCAUCAUGUCCUUCUUCCUGGUCUAUUUUGUCUGGAAGCUCCACUGAAACCUGUCCUCCAUGAGUGACCCUGCUGGUAUUUGAAAUACCCGUGGCAAAGCUUUCAGCAUCACAGCAACACACAAGCCACCACAGCACGACAAACUGACAGAUGAGUGGUGGUGGAAAAUGGUACCAGAUGAAAACUGAGAUCUUCAGAAAAGAAUGAAGAGUAUCGAAAAAGCAGCCCUACAGGACAAAGUAGAACUGCCCUAUAAGGUUUCCAAGGCUGUAAACUUUACAGAAGCAGACUGCCACAUCUUUCUCCCAAGGAACCACUGCGUGGCUGUUAGAAAGUGUUAAAGUACCUACGUGGCUCACAUUUGUGGUUUGCAUUAUAUUUCUGUUGGAUGGCACUAGGAUAAAACGUCAGUGCUGGAAGGGCCUUCAGGUCUGCCUUUUACACACAAGAAACCAGGCCUAGAGAGGGACGGUGCCUUGCUCCAGGCCACACAUGUGUGAGAACACAGCAGUGAGUAUUAGACCUCUGCCU